rnacentral:piRNA from 1 species
UGGCAAGUGUUGUCUGACUUACUGCUUCA